CGUAGGGGGCAAGCGUUGUCCGGAUUUACUGGGCGUAAAGAGCGUGUAGGCGGCCAAGCAGGUCCGUUGUGAAAACUGGAGGCUUAACCUCCAGACGUCGACGGAAACCGCGUGGCUAGAGUCCGGAAGAGGAGAGUGGAAUUCCUGGUGUAGCGGUGAAAUGCGCAGAUAUCAGGAAGAACACCAAUGGCGAAGGCAGCUCUCUGGGACGGUACUGACGCUGAGACGCGAAAGCGUGGGGAGCGAACAGGAUUAGAUACCCUGGUAGUCCACGCCGUAAACGAUGGGUGCUAGGUGUGGGAGGUGUCGACUCCUUCCGUGCCGUAGCUAACGCAUUAAGCACCCCGCCUGGGGAGUACGGCCGCAAGGCUA
rnacentral:rRNA from 1 species